UACGGAGGGUGCGAGCGUUGUCCGGAUUUAUUGGGUUUAAAGGGUGCGUAGGCGGCUUUUUUAAGUCAGCGGUGAAAUUUUGCAGCUUAACUGUAACAGUGCCGUUGAUACUGGGGAGCUAGGAUUUGGUUGCUGUGGGUGGAAUGUGUGGUGCAGCGGUGAAAUGCUUAGAGAUCACACAGAAUAUCGAUUGCGAAGGCAGCUCACAAAGCCAAGAUUGACGCUGAGGCACGAAAGUGUGGGGAUCAAACAGGAUUAGA
rnacentral:rRNA from 1 species